rnacentral:misc_RNA from 1 species
CCAAAUCUUAGUGAGCCUGGACUCGUCCACGGUCUCGCGAAAUCUUGUAUUUAAAACCUACUCUUAUAAUUAAAAAUAAGUAUCAUGACAAAAAAUUAGA